AGGAGGUAUAUAGUAUUGCUACAGGGGUGCAUAUGUGGCAGUCAGACCCCCGGACGAAGGUCAGCAGACCGAAACACGUGUAAGGGUGGCGGCAUCCUGGGACUUCUAGUACUCCUCAUAUACCACUGCGUCCUUACUCGUGGAUAAUCGUGGAUAUUCAGCAAGAGACAUUUCAAGGGGGUACACAAGAGCAAAUAACACAGACCGGAGGGAACUAUUAAAACCAAAGGAAUACAAAAAAGAAGAUUCACAGGGGCCACCAUGGGGAUCAUACCCAUGUGGAGAUUGCUCGAUAUGUCCACAAAUGAUGAAAACAAAGACCUUCAAAGAUUCAAGUGGUACAGGUCAGUCAUGUUUCAGAAGUGCGGCAUAAGGAGAGGAAUUCUACGAUGUAGGGAAGAUUAAGGACUUCCUUUUUUUUGGGCCACGUGUUUGAUUGCCAGUGGAUAUUGUCGGAGUGAUCUGAUGCAUUCUAUUCAUAGGCACCAAUUUCAUUUGCUAUCCAUAUGAUAUAUAGUAUUAUUUUUCUCAUAUCACAUCAUAUCUGAGUAGUUGCACGCUGUACUUGGUUUUAUUAUUGCUUUAUUAUGUUGUUCAUCACUUUUUUAGUUAUCUACUUAUAAUACCCUAAUAUUUGUAAUUGUUUUUCAUUUUAUCAUGUCCCACCAUCACCACCUAUCAGUAUACACCCAUAAUAUUCACACCCAUCAUCUUACACAGUCACUCACUUCAUUAUCACUCAUAUAUUUUAUCACGUUUUUUCAACAAGUUUUUUGAGGAUUUAUCUACAUUUUUCUUUCACUAUUUAUUUUUUAAGCAAAUAUCAUUUUUUUAA